CACGUAGGGCGCGAGCGUUGUCCGGAAUUAUUGGGCGUAAAGAGCUCGUAGGCGGCCUGUUGCGUCCGCUGUGAAAGCCCGGGGCUUAACCCCGGGUCUGCAGUGGAUACGGGCAGGCUAGAGGUAGGCAGGGGAGAAUGGAAUUCCCGGUGUAGUGGUGGAAUGCGUAGAGAUCGGGAGGAACACCAGUGGCGAAGGCGGCUUCCUGGACCGUGGCUGACGCUGAGGCGCGAAAGCGUGGGGAGCGAUCCGG
rnacentral:rRNA from 1 species